AAUUCUCAACUUCAAAACUUUAUUGAUUUGAAGCUUGGAUAUUGGAGGUUACUGCAGGCAUUGUCAAAUGUCAGCUCCUCUUAAAAGCAUUAGCUUGGGACCAUGAAGGACCAGCUCUGGUUUGAUAAUCCUAUCUAUGCCAUUGCUGAGAAACAAAAGGUCCUGGCUUCUAACUGUCUUUGGACUGUCUCGCAAGAGGCAUAAUUAUUU
rnacentral:misc_RNA from 1 species